UAUGAAUAUUGUUAGGGGUAAAAUGGUACUUUAAGCUUAUGCUUGAAUGUCAACAAUACGUGUCCAAUGUUAAAAGAGUAGGACACGGACACAUCUAGAAGUUGGAAUUCCUUUACCAUCUCUUCAUUCUUACUCUGGGCAGUCCGCAACGGGAAAGGUGAACGAGCACGACAUCAAAGAUUACACGCAAAGGAUCGUAAAUUGUACAACUCCUAUAAACUUUGCCGGAUUGCAAUUUUCGAACCAGGUGUAGCACUUUAAACAUUAUCAACACUACAUUUGGGUUUAGUCAGUGCAUUUCUCUUCUCUUUCACUACUCUUUGUUCCAUGCUCUCUGCAAUUUUGCCUCGCUACUCCCUGGUUGGAAGUGUCACUUCUCUGUUUGAAUGUCCACAAACAAAGUUGCUGCGGCACGUAGAGCUCAAGAGAAUAAGGAACAACGAUGCGCUAAUUGAAAUUUGAGACGUCGCACCAGAUAUGCACAAAUGCACACAAACGUAUAUUUAUUAUGUGGAUGUGCCGUUUUCUCUUUUUCGUUUGCUAUCCUGAUUACUCUCCUCCUUUUUCCUCUUCUACUUUCAAUUGCAGAGUUCGUGAUGAAAGAUCAUUUUGUAGUGAAAAAUAACGAGAAGGCCUAUAUCGAUACGCUCAAUGGACAUGUCUCUCUAGAUAAUUUGAAGGAGGCAUUUCUUUUGCAUUAAUGAUUCCUAAUAACAAGCUUUAGCUUCUUGAUUUUUUUGCAGGAUUCAUUGUUGGUGGACAAUAACGGUAACAAGAUGUCCUUUAAUUGUAAUUAAAAAGAACUUCAAAUUAAGAUUUUAACUAAAUGUCUUUGAUUAAGAAAUGUGCGUAAUGGAUGAGAAAAAGAGUUAAAAGCGACAAAAUAGAAGAAAAAACUUAUGGACGUGGUCCAUGUUCUUUUUUCCAACAAUUGCUUGAUUUGAUUAAGUUGUAGCGUACUUUUUGUUGUUUUGUUAAUGGAUUGUAUCUCUUUUUCGGUGUUAAUUAAUGGGUAAACAUUAGAAUUGAUAUUUUGUAGACUUGAAUGGAGAAAAAAGUGUGAAAUCGAGGGGAAGUCCAGAGCACCAAUACGAACACCAUAUGUGCAUCCAAAUUUGAUUCCCUGAAAACUUAAUAUUCAUGGAAUGGUACAUUCAUAUUAUUUUAUUGACAUUUUGAUAUUAUGUUAAGAAUAAGAUAUUUGUGUAAGCCAUGAUAUUUUAAUAUUGUGUUCGCGAGAUUCAUGAAGGCACAUUUUAAUUCACCAUACAAGAAACUUCACUUUGACAUUAUCCUGAAGCUAAGGUUAUUUAUUUCAUCAUGAAGAAAGAUAUGAAGUCAAUAAAACCUUCUAAAUAGAAAUAAUGCUCUAAUUUGACCAGUUUUUGCAGUCAAAAGCAUUUAAAAGUCAGCUAAUUGUUCAAUUUGUUUUCCUUUCCAUGUUCCUUUUAAGGUAUUGGUUUACCUAUUCGAAAAUGCUUAAUAUUGCGCUGCUUUCUUGCAGGAAGCUUCUAAUGGGAGCUGCAUUUGGAGGAAAAGAUGCAGAAAGAAUGACUAAAAUGAAAUAGAAGUUCAAGUAAGGCAGCGUUAAUGUGGAAGGAUCACUUUUAGUGUUCUUGUCAAUUAUUUAACUCAAUGCAUCUGUCCAAAGUUGACAGGAGAAGAAGUUUUGAUUCAAAAGAUACCCUUCUAUACGUUUCUGGAGCUAAAGCUUUGAACAACAUAAAGGCUUCUCAUUAUAAUUUCACUCCUACUUUGGGACAUAUAAAAGAAAAAGGAAGUUUAUAUAGCAAACCCUUGCUCCCUUUACUAUUUUAGAAAGUAUUAAUGUUUUGCUUGUCUAUUUCCCCGUCUCAGUUGGCAAGGCCAUCUUUGCUAUACUCCAAGACAGAGGCAGAGUUGAAUUACCAUGUGCUGCAUUAUUUCAUCAUGGUAUGAUCUUGACCUUACAUAUCCUGAAAGCUUCUUUCAGUUUCAGUAUGUGCUUUUAUCUCAUAUUUUCAGUGAAUAUAGUGAUGUAGUUAAUUGAUACUUCUCCAAGCUAGAUGACUAAUAUUUUAGUUGGUUUA